UACGUAGGGGGCAAGCGUUGUCCGGAUUUAUUGGGCGUAAAGAGCGUGUAGGCGGCCUGACAGGUCUGCUGUGAAAACUCGAGGCUCAACCUCGAGAUGUCGGCGGAAACCGUCUGGCUAGAGUCCGGAAGAGGCGAGUGGAAUUCCUGGUGUAGCGGUGGAAUGCGCAGAUAUCAGGAGGAACACCGAUAGCGAAGGCAGCUCGCUGGGACGGUACUGACGCUGAGGUGCGAAAGCGUGGGGAGCGAACAGG
rnacentral:rRNA from 1 species